GCAUAACGCAAAACCGACUAACCAACGUUUCGACCCCUGCGGGUCUUUUUCAAGGUUACCCGCAGAGGUCGAAACGUUGGUUAGUCGGUUUUGCGUAAUGC
rnacentral:miRNA from 1 species